UCUGGUUGAUCCUGCCAGUAGCAUAUGCUUGCCUCAAAGAUUAAGCCAUGCAUGUCUAAGUAUAAAUAGUAUACAGUGAAACUGCGAAUGGCUCAUUAAAACAGUUAUAGUUUAUUUGAUAGUGGAAGCCUACAUGGAUAACCGUAGUAAUUCUAGAGCUAAUACAUGCGUGCAAACCUGACUGAAUUGAAAGGUUGUAUUUAUUAGAUACGAAGCCAAUAUUCCCUCGGGACUAUUGUGGUGAGUCAUAGUAACUGAUCGAAUCUCCGAAAUGGAGAUAAAUCAUUCAAGUUUCUGCUCUAUCAGCUUUCGAUGGUAGUGUAUUGGACUACCAUGGCAGUCACGGGUAACGGAGAAUUAGGGUUCGAUUCCGGAGAGGGAGCCUGAGAAACGGCUACCACAUCUAAGGAAGGCAGCAGGCGCGUAAAUUACCCAAUCCUGACUCAGGGAGGUAGUGACAAGAAAUAACAACCCGGGGGGCUCGCGCCCUUACGGGAUUGCAAUGAGAACAAUUUAAAUCACUUAACGAGGAUCAAUUGGAGGGCAAGUCUGGUGCCAGCAGCCGCGGUAAUUCCAGCUCCAAUAGUGUAUAUUAAAGUUGUUGCAGUUAAAAAGCUCGUAGUUGAACUUCUGGCCGUGCACAGUUUGGCGCUUGCGCCGGCUGUGUGCUGCCAUCCGUCUGCAAACUCUACACAACCUUGAGUGGCUUGGUGGGGGGAGUAGACAUUUUACUUUGAAAAAAAUUAGAGUGUUUCAAGCAGGUUAUUGCCAGAAUACUUUAGCAUGGAAUAAUGGAAUAGGACUCUGUCCAUUUGGUUGGUUAUUGGACCAGAGUAAUGAUUAACAGGGACAGUUGGGGGCAUUAGUAUUUAAUUGUCAGAGGUGAAAUUCAUGGAUUUAUUAAAGACUAACUUAUGCGAAAGCAUUUGCCAAGGAUGUUUUCAUUAAUCAAGAACGAAAGUUAGGGGAUCAAAGACGAUCAGAUACCGUCCUAGUCUUAACUAUAAACGAUGUCGACUCGGGAUUGGAAAGGUAUAUGUAUCCUUUCCAGCACCGUAUGAGAAAUCAUUAAGUCUUUGGAUUCUGGGGGGAGUAUGGUCGCAAGGCUGAAACUUAAAGGAAUUGACGGAAGAGCACCACCAGGCGUGGGACCUGCGGCUUAAUUUGACCCAACACGGGAAAACUUAUUUCAGCAAAACAUGAGUGGGAUUGACAGAUUGAGAGCUCUUUCUUGAUUUUAUGGGUGUGGUGCAUGGCCGUUCUUAGUUGGUGGAGUGAUUUGUCUGGUUAAUUCCGUUAACGAACGAGACCUUAACCUGCUAACUAGUCAGCGUGUUAAACUACGCGUUGU
rnacentral:rRNA from 1 species